GACGAACGCUGGCGGCGUGCUUAACACAUGCAAGUCGAACGGAAAGGCCCUGCUUUUGUGGGGUGCCGGGGUGGCGAUGGGGUGCGUAACAGGAGAGUAACCUGCCCUUGACUUUGGGGUAACUUAAGGAAACUGGGGCUAAUAUCGGACAGGAGACCCCGCUGCGGGGUGGGGGUUGGAAAGUUUCGGCGGUUGGGGAUGGACUGGCGGCUUACCGGUUUGUUGGUGGGGUAGUGGCUUACCAAGGCUUUGACGGGUAGCCCGCAUGGGAGGGUGACCGGGCACAUUGGGACUGAGGUACGGACCAGACUCCUACGUUGGGCAGCAGUGGGGAAUAUUGCACAAUGGGCGGAAGCCUGAUGCAGCAACGCCGCGUGCGGGAUGACGGCCUUCGGGUUGUAAACCGCUUUCGCCUGUGACGAAGCGUGAGUGACGGUAAUGGGUAAAUAAGCACCGGCUAACUACGUG
rnacentral:rRNA from 1 species